rnacentral:lncRNA from 1 species
AAAAGUGCUCGUAUGGGAAAAAAUUUAGAGUAACUGUAAUACAUCGCGGAUGCGCUAAUUUUGGUCGAGAUGAAAUAGAUGCUCCGUAUAUGAGACCGUAUUUAACGCAGUGUCCUAAUUUGAAGACCUGAAAAGGUAAUUGUCGGGGAUUUUUAUUUUUUCUUAAUAGGGAGAGAUGGAACGAAGCUCCUUGAAACUUUGAGUGUAUUUUAACACGCAUUUGAAAGGUGCAGGCAAAACUUUUUAUCAUCCAACUGUCGCAAAACGGCAGCAUUAUUAGCUGACACGUUGACUGAAGGAUAUAUCUUCAUUCAACGGCUGACCAUCGAAGUGCCUAGCUGCGUGAGUCUGGAAUCGGCAGGAAAGAUAAAGUGCGUAUUUGCUGCUUACAUCUGACAUGUAAGAACUAAAAUCAUUAUACAUCAUAUCACAUCAUCGUACAUCAUACAUCAUACAUAGUAUUAUCAUACACAGUAUUAGAGUUCGAAACCAAAGUUUCGAUGUUCGGAUGUUCGGAUGUUCAGGAAGUGACGUCAUCAAAAAUUUUUUUUCUCUUGACGUCAUCGAUCUAAAAUCAACUAGCCAAAUUCCUUAGUCUGGAAACAACCGCGCAGUAGAGCGGACGUAUCAGAAUCGCGCUCCGCGGAUUUCGAGUACCGCGUUCUCUACUUCCUGGACCCUGCGCUCCAAGUCCACUACCUGUUGAAACUAGACUUACAGGACAAGCGCUCCGUAGUUUUUACGCUGCUGGUCCGCUACCUGAUGAAACGCGACUUCCAGGACAAGCGCUACGUGGUUCCUGCACUGAGGUCCGCUUCCUGGUGGAACUCGACUUGCAGGACGAGUGCUCCGUAGUUCUGGCUGUCCAGGUCCUUGACGUGAUGAAUGUUGACCUUCCGGACUAAUUCUCAAGUUUACAAGUUUGAUUAUUGAAAACGUUAUGUUUUGUACAAUCAAACCAAUAUGCAUGCUUCAGAUAACAUUUUGAAUCGGAAAAAAAACCGAACGACCAGGAUCAAGAAAUUGCAGUUGAAUUCGAGGCGAUUACCGGUGGUCGUUGGAGGUGGUUGGUCGUGGUUGGAGGUGGUUAGGAGUGGUUGCGGGUGAAUGAGGUGGACAAGGAGGAGGACUAGGAGGAGGAGGACGAGGAUUCGUGCACAUAUUCGAGGUAUGACCCGAGGGGGUCAGCAGUGGUCAUUGGAGGUGGUCGGAGAUGGUUGCGGGUGAUCCAGGUGGACGACAAGGAGGACGACAACUUGUGCGCUUUCUGUGCCC